GGAAGAGGGAAUCAACAAAAAAUAUGGGAAGAGACUCAAUUGGGAUAUGUUCACAGAAGACACAAUGUGUAUCAAAAGAAAUAUACCUGAUUGGAAUGCAUGACUGGAACUAAGUGAUAAAGAAUCAAACUCAAGGUGACAAAUCUGGACUGGAAGAUGACUUUGAUCCACAAAAGUGGAAACACUGAGCUAAGAUAUUAAGUAACCCAAACAUCCUGGAGGACAGUAAUGGCAUAAUACCUGAAGAGCAGUUCAAAGUCUUUCAUCCAGUCUACAAGGAUCUGCCUAAUUGAUUGAAAAAGGUUCAUCACCAGAAGCAUAUCCAUUUGGGUGAAGGGGACAUAUUCCCAACUACUUAUGAUGACUAUGUUUACAGGAGUGAAGGAGUUGCAGCCCAUGUGAGUAGAAAGGUUCU